rnacentral:rRNA from 1 species
GAUGAACGCUGGCGGCGUGCCUAAUACAUGCAAGUCGAGCGAAAAGACGCUGAGCUUGCUGCUCUCACGUUAGCCGCGGACGGGUGUAUAACGCGUGUAUAACCUACCUAUCAGUCUGGGAUCACUACGGAAAACCGGCGCUUAUACCGGAUAAUAUAUUGAACCGCAUGGUGCAAUAGUGAAAGACGGUGUUGCUGUCUCUUAUAGAUGGAUCUGCGCUGCAUUAGCUAGUUGGUAAGUUAACAGGUUACCAAGGCAACGAUGCCUAGCCGACCUGAGAGGGGGAUAGGCCACACGGGAACGGAAACACGGUCCAGACGACUACGAGAGGCAGCAGUAGGGAAUCGGACGCAAUGGGCGAAAGCCUUACGGAGCGACGCGGCGUCAGUUAUGAAGGUCUUGGGAGCGUAAUACUGUGUUAUUAGGGAAGAACAGAUGUGUAAGUAACUGUGCACUUCUUGACGGUACCUAAUCAGAAAGCCACGGCUAACUACGUG